rnacentral:rRNA from 1 species
UACGUAGGGGGCGAGCGUUAUCCGGAAUUACUGGGCGUAAAGCGCACGCAGCGGUUCGCCAAGUUUGGAGUGACAGUUGUCGGCUCAACCGACAAAGGACUUCAAAAAACUGGUGAACUUGAGGACGAGAGAGGAACAUGGAACUCCAGGUGUAGUAGUGAAAUGCGUAGAUAUCUGGGAAGAACACCCAAUGGCGAAGGCAAUGUUCUGGCUCGUUUCUGAACGCUCAGGUGCGAAAAGCCAGGGGGAGCCGAACGGGAUUAGAAAACC